GCACGUUGUGGGGCGGAGAGGAGCUUUCCAGGAGCCGGGAUCAGCCGCGGCUGGAGCCCCGAGCCGAGCGCAAGCCGUAGCUUGCAGGCAGCUCAGAGCGCCCGGCUACUGAGCAUGCUCGGCUGCCCGCGGCUCCGACAGGGGCCUUCCAGCCGCUGACUCCUCUUCCUGAUUUGAGAAAGGAGAAUGGCGAAGUGGGCAGAGGGUGAGAUUUAGUGCAGGUAAUUUCUGGAACAUGGAGAUGACCUCCUUCCAUCCACCCGGCAGAAACAAAAAAGAAAGAAAGAAAGAGGAGAAAGGACUCAUUGUCCUGCACUUAGCCAAUGUUUUUGAUUGACAGGUUGGUAGAGAUGUUUGGAAGCUAUCGGUGGUGUUUAGUCUUUAACUCGCUACCGGAACGAUGAAGUUGCCUCUGGGGUCAAGUAUGCGGUGUAGGCUGUGAAAUUGCUGUCGCUCAAGGAUUAGGUUCCUUCACAUUUUUGUCCUCUGAAGAUUUGCCUCACUUUCUUACCUCUAGUAAUUAGCAAUGGUUAACAGUUGUCAAGUCAGAAUCUGUUAACUUAACCACAUGUGGACUCAUUAAUGUAACCAAGGGAUUCUGGAGAACCGCCUGACCACCCUUAAUACCUCACUGGCAUCAUUUGGAAACAACAAUGCAAGCGAAUUAACCUAAGAGAUUCAGCCAGGGUAAAAGAAAUCAGAAAGGAUGGAUGCAUGAAAAUGAAAAUAGCAGCCACGGUUGAGAGCGCUCACUGGCCUAGGUCAAAUAGACCUCAAUUUAAUCUGUGUGCUCCGUUUACCAGCUGUGUGACAUUCAGCAAUUGGCUUAACCUUCAUGAACCUGGAUUUCCUCAUCUGCCAAGCAUCACGCUCUUUAUGAUGACUGUGUCCUGUUCCGUUGUAUAAAUGUACUGUAAAUCAGGAUAGCUACUGUGCUGGACUCCAGGACACAGAUGUAAACAAGACGGACUUAUUCCCACCCUCACAGGUUAUAGUGUAGUAAGGAAUGUAGCCAAUUCCAAUGUAAUGCGACAAAUGCUUUGAUGGAGAAAGACUAGGAGCUAUAUGGAUGCACAGAAUGGGUACUGUCAGUGGUCUCAUGUGAGAAAGGCACAAGAGAGAUUAUCCUGAAGGAAGGGACAUCCAAGAUGAGACCAGAAAGAGUUCGCCAGGCCGAGGAUUAGCCUGUGCAGCUGCAGAGGAAGGAAGAGGGUAAAUGGAAGAGGCAUGUGGUGUGGAGAAUCGUUCUGGUAGAAGGAACAGCAUUUCUAAAGACCUAGAAGUGAGACAGUAGGGUAAAUUUGGGAAGCUAGAAGUAGUUCAACAUGACCGAAGCACAGAAUGCCGUGGAAAAAUGGAAGGAAAUCAGGCUGAAGCUCCUGAGGGGUCUUGCUGUUCCUAAGAAGGUGUUUUCACUUUACUGUCUCGUCCAGGCAGAGCCACCCGGGUAGGUAUGGGGUGCGGUCCCAUUUGCAUUUAGCAGUGUCACUCUGGCCAGAAUGUAGAGGACAGAGGAGAAGGAGCAACACUGGAGGCUACUGCAGGAAUCCAACCUGGAGCCGUGAUGGUGGUGGACAUAGACCCCAGAGAAUGACUGACAAGAUGUUUGACACAGCCUGGUGAUGAGGAGUGUUGUACCUCCAGCUUUGUUCUUUAUUCUCAGGAAUCCUUUGGCAAUUUGGGGUCUUUUGUUGUUCCAUAUAAAUUUUAGGAUUCUUUGUUCUAUUUUGGGAAAAUGUUGGAACUUUGAUAGGGAUUGCAUUGAUAAAUAUAUUUUAAUAAAUGAGAGAGAUUUGUUGUUUUAUUCUCAUUUAUUAUAUUUGCCCAGUUUUGGUGCCAAUGUUAUAUCACAUUUGAAAAUAAUUGGAUAGCUUUUCUUUCUUUUCAGUUCUCUGAGAUAUCUUGUAUGUGAUAGGGAUUUUCUGGUCUUUAAUGACUUGAUAAAAUUACAAUCUGGGCCUGAUGUGCUCUUAGGGAAAGGAUUUUUGAGUUUAAUUUUAAAGUAAGUUUCUUUAAUAACUAUUAAUUUAUUUAGGCUUUCUAUGUGUUCUAUUUUUCUUAAAAGUUGUCCGUUUAAUCAUGUUCUCAAUUUUUAAUUUUAAUAAGAUUUCUAAAAUCCACUGCAUCUUUACUACAUCUGCUAUUGUAUUCUUAACAGUGUUUGUGUUUUCUUUCUGUUUUGGAGAGUAGUAUCACUUUCCAUAUUCCACAGAGAUUUGUCAGAUCUGGAAAGAUCAAUUUCUUUCACUGCCACUCCCUUUUAUAAUCAGAGAUUUUAGUCCCAUUCAAGAUAAAUUUACACUAACAAUCUAUUUGUUUCCUUAAAGAAAAUGUUUGUAAACACCAGGUUUUUUGAACAAAAUUCAGUAUCAGCAAAACCAAGUCCUCACCUGGUCAUGAGGGUGGAGGAGUGGGAGAGUCAGUAGCCACAUAUAUCUGCAUAGUGUAUCUUCCUUAAGCCAGCAAGCAUUCUGGAAAGUUCAUUUUCCUAUCUUGGAUAACCUAUUUUUAUCUUUGGUUACUUUUAAAAAUUUUGUUUUUAUCAUUACUAGUCUUCAAUUUCUGUGUGCUUUGUCCAAGUCUGGGUUAUUUCAUUCAUGUGACUUGAGAUUUGGUAAGCCCUUUUCAUCUGGAAGCACAUACGGCUCUGCAGUUCUGGAAGGCCUUCACCCGUUACGUCCACAUGUUUUCUCUCCUCCGUUCUACUGGCAUAUCCUUGCAAACUCUGAUUAAAUGGGUGUUGGGGCUUCUCAGUCUAUCUUUCAUGUUUCAAUUUAUCUUCCAUGUUUUCUACCUCUUUAUCUGUGCUGAAUUCUGAGUGAGUUUCUCAAUUCUUUCUUCAUGUCAUUCACUUUUCUCUUCAGCCAUAUUUGACCGCUAAUUAUCUUGUUUACUUAGUUUUGUAGAUCAAUGACUGCAUUUUUCAUUUCCAUGAUUUCUAAAUUUAUUUGACAUAUAUAUCACCUAUUUAUAUAUAUGCUUUCAUAUGAUUAUUGACUGUUCUCAUUACAGAGAUGAUGUUUCCUAUUUUUCUCUUUGAAGGGAAAUGUGGAUACAGUUGUUUUUAAAGUGCUGCCUUAUUUUUAUCGCUGUGGUUGAAAUUCUUCCAUAUUUUGAGUGUGCUAUCUUCCAUACAAGUAGGUUUGCUCACUUGAUUUGUCAUUUUUGCGAGAGCCAUGCUGUCCCAGAGAAUUUUUCUGCACAUGUUGUGCUCUGAUUUGUGGGUGUGUGGUUUCUUUGUACUGUCUCUCUCUGUGUUGCAUAGCCCGGACCAGGUCUUCCAUUAGAACUCCUUGAGAGGGCUUUUCUGUGUUGGGAAGGGAAAGGGAAGGAUUGGAGCAGAGACAAGGGGUGCCCCUUGGAGACUCCUUUACCGGGGGACCACAUCUGGGAUCUCACCACUUCCUGUGGACUCCUUACUUCCCUCUAAGCAGUGUGGCUCCUGAAAAUACAAAGCCCUUUACUCACUUCAGGUCCUCGAGAAGAUCCCAAAUAGCACCCAGGGCUGAGGCCUGGGGUGGUGGGAAUGGGGGGGAGUUAAAUUAUCCCCUCCAUGGGGCUGAGGCAGGGAGGCAAGUCAAGGCCUUUAGGAGGCACUCUGCCUACAGAAUCACCUAGGAUGACCCCACGUUCUAGGUAAAGUGAGGCUGUUGAGAUGGGAAGCAAUUGGAUUUGUGUCAGAUCUUCCCAUGACCUUUGCCAACCUAGACUGGCCCAAGGGCAGCUUGUUUAAAGCUCUGCUCCUGGUGCCAAUGUCUUGUUUUGUGAGUGGAAGCUUCCAUGGCAGCUGAGAUCUGCUGCUGGCUUUGGCACAAAGCUUCCUGGCAUUUGGCAAGACCAGAAGCAGGCAUUAACCUACUUUCAAAGGAAUAAUCUUGCCCAAAGACCAAGUACAGAAGGAUGAAGGACAAGAAGAGGAGAACAGUAGCCAAUUGACCGGAUCAAAUAAAUACAGUGGAAGGAUGCUAACAGUAGGGGCAGACACCCACCUUCAUCUUUUGUAUCUGUCUAUAAACAAAUAAUUUUCUCUCAAUGCACUUUUCAACAAUGGUAUGUUAGAAUUAUGCUGUGUUUAACAUAUUGUCCCCUACCCCUAUUGUGGUAGUCAGAAAAAUCUCAGCGCUUUUCAGAAGUUUUAGAAGACACCAAACAGUAGUUUUUCUGCCUAAUGCCAGGCUUCAUUUUAUUAGCAUCCUAGCGAUCUUACGACAGCAGGUUCCUAGGAAAAGAUGUUUAUAAUUUACAACCAAUCACACUGAUUCACUCAUUAGAAGACUUGCUGACUACAUUGGAUUUACUAGAAAAUGAACUGCAAGUCCAAUUUGAUAGCUCCUAUAUACAUCUUAAUUUACUAAAAUUAUUUUUUAGUGUCAAAUAAAAGACUGAGAAUCUCAAAUCUAAAGAGAGUAAAAAGAGCAGAAAAUUAAGAAAAGGUUACAAAACAUUUCUGGGGAAAGCAGAGAGGGUGAUUAUUACCAUGGGAUUAAAUAUGUUUGACAUUCUCUUGUAGAAAUCACCAGUUAAAACCUAAAUCAUUCUCAGAGCUACUGAGAAUUAGACUGAGAAUCAGAAGUUAUCCUUGAGUUCCCAAACCAUUCAAGAUAAAGAAUGACACCCAGUGGUGACAGCCACUGUGACCAAAAAAAUAGUCAUAUAAUAUGGUAGGCACCACCUCAUCUAAUUCCCAUAUAUUCUUUUUCCUUGGUUCCAUUAACCCAAUUGUAAGCUGAUAGUUUGGAAUGUACUACCAUUUCGUGUUCCUCUCAGACUGAAAACAUGGUAUUAGUUACCCAGGGGAAGACCAGGAGGCCUUUAAAGGGAAAGGAAAGAGGAGUUAGGUUUCAAGAUUUACAAAUUUAUGUGAUUUUUUUAAAAGUAUGGCCAACAUAUUUUCACCUUUAAGAUCUAUUGAUGCUAAACACUCAUGAAAGGAAAAAAAAUCAAAUUUCAGUCAUAGCUUCAAUACAGAAGUUACUUUUUUUAUAUGAAGGAAAAUAAAGACACCAAUACAUUGUGCAUUACUGGUCAAAAUACGCACAGCCUUAAUGCAUACUGGCCUGGAUGACGAUCUCUGGGUUUUCUAUGCACAAGCCACUUGGAGAUUGCUUAAGCGCUGGUGUGUCCAUGCUAGGCCAUGCCAGAGAACAGAUUCUCCCCACACCAAGACAGUGGCCAGUUCGUGCAUCUCCAUCCACCACUGUGGAACUGAUGGGUUUUUUAAUUUUCUGAUUUCCCAGUGCAAUCAGACAGUUGAUUCCCAGAGAAUAGGGAGUGUCACAUCUGGUGAUGACCGUGGAAGGAAGCAUGUCCAUUACCUUUAACACUUCUUCUUGAAGAUGGAUCUUUCUGCCUCAAAACAGCCUCAAACUCAGCCUGAUUGGGCAUUAUAAUCUCUGCAGACUGUAUUACUUUCCCCUUGUCAAUGGGAAGGAGAGCCUCUAGAUUUACAUGGUCCAAUACAACAGCCACUAGUUCAAAUUUAAAAUAAUUAAGUUAAAAAUUCAGUUCUUCAAUCACAGUAGCCACAUUUCAAGAGCUCAACAGCUAUACGUAGCUGGCGGCUACUGUAUAGAACAGCACAGAUCUAGAACAUUUCCAACAUUACAGAAAUUUGUAUUGGUCAAACCUGCUCUAGAAUAUAGAGAGAGCAUUUCCACUCCAGCAGCAAAAUUUGGCCCUGAGAAGAGACUAGAUGUUUUUUGACAAGGUGAAUAUUUUGCAAAGUCAUUUGGGAUAGGUUAAGGUGAAGGGACAUAUUUGGAGAACAAAGGAUGGUUAUCCCUCAGGCAAUGAUAAGGAUUUUGUUCACUUACUGGUCUAUAUUAACUGUGGACAGGAUCUGAUUGGUUUGGAGCACACAGAGCAUUUUUAGAGGCUGUGUGGAGAGAAGGUGAGGAAGAGAAGAGAGACCUAGUCAUUGGCAGCAGCUAAGGGAGAGAGCCAGGAUGUCUAAUGAGUUGAUGAAUAAGGGUGCUGUGUCACGUGCAACGCAACCCUCUCCUCCAUCUCCCCAAGAACCCUUGUGUAGAAUAUAAAUUACUCACCAAUGCCUUGGAAGUUGGAUGCUGUUUUUGCUGAGUCUGCUCUCAAUAUGAGUAUGGUCAAGGUACAAUGUGUCCAAUUAUAUUCAGUUUAAACAAUUUACUCCCUUGCUACUGAAUAUCGUCUUUCUCCAAGGACAAUGUGUGUGGGUCUUUUCCUUUUGACACUAAGGACUUUGGCUGGAUCGGUACAAUGAUCAAUCCCCUCCCAGGUGUGCCAGUGUUUGACAGGUCCCAGACUCUUCCAACAUGCAACUAAUUUGAUAGAUCGUAGCUGACUGCUUUGAAGCAAGGAAAAAUGAAUUUGUUUUUUCUCCUCAUUGAACAAAUAUUUAUUGUGCACCUGAAAUGUCUAAUAUGUCCCAGACACUGUUCUAGGAGCUGGUUAUAUAGCAUUGAAUAAACCAUAUCCAUGCCCUCAAAUAGCUUAAAUUCUUCUCCUUUUACACCCUAUCAUCUACCCAACAAUAGCAAGUUAGAAAUCUAAAAACUACUAAGUACGUUGCUUUACCUAUGUUACACUUGAACAUUCCUAGUGCCUAGCGUGAUAUCUCAGAGUCUAGCAAAAUGUUUGUUGGCUGGCUAAAUGAAUGGAUAGAUGGCUGGGUAACUGGUGUGCUGUACACAGUAGGCAUUUGAUCGAUAUUUGUUGUUAAAGGCUACUCUAGAAGUAGGACGAAAUUAAAUUUCUCUAAAU